CUAGGAAUAGCUUAAGGUUUAAAGUUUGGAAUUCUUACUUUUGAGAUAUCUGUUUGAUUUUCUAGG
rnacentral:tRNA from 1 species